GCCCCCGUAGCUCAGUGGAUAGAGCAUCUGCCUUCUAAGCAGCCGGCCGGAGGUUCGAAUCCUCUCGGGGGCG
rnacentral:tRNA from 1 species